rnacentral:rRNA from 1 species
GACGAACGCUGGCGGCGUGCUUAACACAUGCGAGUCGAACGGAAAGGACCUGCUUUUGUGGGGUGCUCGAGUGGCGAACGGGUGAGUAACACGUGAGUAACCUGCCCUUGACUUUGGGAUAACUUCAGGAAACUGGGGCUAAUACCGGAUAGGAGCUCCUGCUGCAUGGUGGUGGUUGGAAAGUUUCGGCGGUUGGGGAUUGACUCGCGGCUUAUCAGCUUGUUGGUGGGGUAGUGGCUUACCAAGGCUUUGACGGGUAGCCGGCCUGAGAGGGUGACCGGCCACAUUGGGACUGAGAUACGGCCCAGACUCCUACGGGAGGCAGCAGUGGGGAAUAUUGCACAAUGGGCGGAAGCCUGAUGCAGCAACGCCGCGUGCGGGAUGACGGCCUUCGGGUUGUAAACCGCUUUCGCCUGUGACGAAGCGUGAGUGACGGUAAUGGGUAAAGAAGCACCGGCUAACUACGUG